ensembl:lncRNA
AUGAUGAUUGGUCAGUUGAGGAGGAGGGGAGCCGGGAGAGAGGGUUGUCAUGGAAGCCAAGUGAGAAGAGAAUUUAAUAGAGGAGGAGGAGGGGAGAUGGGAAGGGGAGUUUCUUUAGCAGAAAGUGGGAUGGUGAGUUUGGGAUGGAGGAUAAGGGCUAUGGAGGGAGGAUCAGGGAGAGGUGCUGUGGUCCAUGAACAUGGGGGUGCGGCAGAGAGCAGUGGGAAGGCGUCAAGGGAAGCUGGUGGGGAGAAGGGCGGGUCCAUGCUGACAGUGGGCCCUUUGGGUGCAUUCAGGGGACCCCUAGGAGCGGUGGUUCUUCAGCUCCUCAGCCUUGCUCACUCCUGUGAUGUGAGCAGUGGUCUCUUUGGACUGGUUCUUUCUGCCAAGUUCUGCUCUUGGGGGAAACAGCAAGGGGUUGGGUUUUCUCCAGGAACCUUUGCUGGAGAGGCUGCAGACUCUGUAGUGGGUGUUCCCUUACUACUGUGGGCCUACUUGAGAGGCAUGGACCCUGUCUUCAGGGAACUUGCCAACGAAGGGAACUUUUGUGCAUGGGUCUGACGCCAGUGGCCCUUGUCUUCUGGGCAGGGUCUGUGGGUAUUGCAGACGUCUGGUUUCUGUGUUGGGCUCAGUCUGGUCUGAGGUGAAGGCUCUUACCCUGGGACUGAGGACUAUGAGGUGUCACCAAUUUGGGCCUUGCUGUCCCUUAAGAAGUAGAAGAUCUGUUGGGGACAGAUUUCAGAGGCCCCCCAGUAGUCAUGGAGGAAGUGGGGGUCACUGAGGAGGAAAACUCAGGACAAAGGGCUUCUGCAAGGAUGAGGGGAGGUGGGCAGGCUGGGGGUUCUGUGGGAGCAAAGCCUCCCUUUCCCUUGAUUGGGGGGUGACAGAAUGAGGGGACUGUGGGAGUGGGCCUUGGGAGGGGCAUGCUCUGUGAGGGGGACCCACAACCAAUCAAGGACUGGGCUCUGGAGACCGUUUUGUCUGCCUGACCCCCGCUGCCAGCCCACCACUGUUCAGAAGCAGCCCUUCUCAUUCUCUCGGAUCAUCCAAGGAAUCCCACAUUCCUUCUGUCUGACUCGAAGUCCUUCCUACUGUAGGUCUUACCCAUCCCCCCACAGCCCAACGGGCACAAGGUUUAGAUGGCAAACCAAGCCUGCCCCAUCCACUAUGUCUCCUUGGCAGUCCCAGGUGCGUGAGGAUGGGAUAGAGUGCAACUGAGCCCCAGGGCUGUCCUCUCUGUCCUGACAACCACAGGAAUGUCAUCAUGCCUGUGCCAGGCACUCCCACCCCUUUCUUCCAGGGUGCCAACACUCCUGUUCUUUAGAAGAAAGGGACAGCAGUGGUCUGAUCAUCUGUCUGAUGCCCACAGAGUGGCUAUGCCAAGUGACCUGUUGUUUUGAGGAUGUCCCUACCCCCGCUGGCUGUCUUUGCAUUUGGUCUCCAGUGCCCAGUGAAGCAAGCUGUGGGCUCUGAGCAGCUCAUACCAGACAGGAGCUGACCUGGAGGGAAGCAACAGCAUGUCUUCUCCCGUGUGACAGCAGUACUAUACUAAUAAUAACAGAGAGCUAGCAUUUCUUGAGCUCUUACUGUGUGCCAGAGACACUAAGUGCCCUAAGUGCUCACGCAUAUGUAUUCGUUUUCUGUGGCUACUAUAACAAAUUAUCAGAAACUUUAAACUUAUGGCAUAAAGCAACACAGACGUAUUAUCGUGCAGUUCUGUGGUAGGUGAGGAGUUUGAUACAAGUCUCACUGGGCUAAAAAUCCAGAUGUUGGAAGGGCUGUGUCCCUUUCAGGAGGCUCCAGGAGUGAUUUCACUUCCUUGCCUUUUCUGUUUUCUGGAGGCCACCAUAUUCCUUGGUUUGUGGGCUGCCCCACUCCAUUUUCAAAGCCAGCAAAUGAUGCAUCUCUCUCUCAGAUGCUGCUUAUGUUAUCACCUGUCUCUCUAACACAGCCAGGAUGGGGUCUCUGUUUUAAGGACUCGUGAUUAGUCUCAGAUACUUAGAGCAUCCAGGAUCAUCUCUUCAUAUCAAGGGCCAUUCUCUAAAUGCAUCCACAAAGUCCCUUCACCACGUAGGGCAAUGUAUUCACAGGUCCCAGGGGUUGGGAUGCUGACAGCUUUGAGGUCCGUUAUUCUGCCUACCACAACAUACUUGAACUUUUCCACACAAAAGAUGGACAUAGAGUGGGUAGUGUUAUUACCCCUAUUUUAAGGCUCGGAGAAGCUAAGUCAUGUGCCCAAGUUUACUUUGACAGUAGUGAAUUCAGGAUUCAAACUGAGGCAGCCUGACUCUGCAGUCGUACCUCAGUCACUGUCACAAGGAGAUGUCCAAGUUUCACGUGGCAUAUAGGUCAGUGAAGCAGUGGAGGAACAUGUAUUUAUUGAGCACCUACUAUGUGCCAGGCCCUAGGAGGGGCUCCCAGAGGCACAUGACAGAGCACCAGUCUGAACCCAGGUUCCAAGUGCAUCACCUCUCUUCCUUCUGUUGCUGUGUGAAAGGCUGCAGGACCCUCCUGCAAAGGUGAAACGGGAGGAAAGAUAGAGUUCCAGUAGGGGCUUGCAGCCAGGGUUCUGGAUUGUGCCCAGGUAGAGGAGGAGAGAGCUGGGUGCCCUAUGCCUUGCAGGACACAGCUGGGCCAGGUCAGAGCCCGCAGGGGCUGACUCACCAGGCUGACUGUGCCUGCCUGUC